GAGAUACUACCCUAAAUGUAUGAACUGGAAUAAAAAUUUAAAGUAAAAACAAAAGUAAAUAAUUUCAUGGUUUUUAUAUUAUCUCUGUAAAAAAAAAAGGUUAAGUUAAAAAUAAAAAAAGAAAUUAAUUAAUUAAAAAAAAAACAAGAAAACAGAAAAAAAGAAAACACAGUAAGGAAGAAAAACUCUCCCGUCGUCCUCAACCAAACUCGCCCUCACUCGCUACGACUCUCCUUCCUCAUCGCUCUCUCAAAAUCUCAAAAUUUCUCUCUCUCUCUCAAACGCUAUCCCUCAACCUUUACUCUCAAAGUCUCUCAAACGCAACCAAAC
rnacentral:lncRNA from 1 species